ACAAUUCUUCAACCAUCUCAGAAGGACACAUGAGUUCCAGGUCCUCAGAGUGCGAGGAGUCUCAAAGUAUCUGGAUAGAGCGAGACUAUGAGUACAAGAAAUGUGCUCGCUUUUCAGACCAGAUCCCUCACGUUUUUCUUGAACGUGGAGUGGAUCCGGAGCGGUAUCGUCUCACGAUUAACCGUAUUAAUUGCUAUUUUGAAAAAGCUAGCAAAAUUGACUGCGCAACUGUACUAGAAAAUAUGCUGUUUUGUAUGACUUGUUAUGUGCUAUCGAUAUUUAAAGAAACGAAGUCGUCCAAGAUUAUGGAGCAAAUGGAGAGUUUCAUAACCUCAGAGAAUCAAUCUUACUACAAGGAAAAGGGCCUGAAAAUACUCAACCCGAUGAAGAACGGUUUGAUCGGUAUAUCCUUCUCUUCACGUUGUUGGCUUUUCACAGAAUGUUUUUUGUUUAUUUUGUGUGAUAAAUGUAUGAGAAUGUAUCUCAAAAGAGGGAUGCGUUUGUUUUUAUAUGUGACGAGUGUGCGAAACGGUUUUUCCUUAACGGUUUCAAACUUGGAGGUAAUCCUUUAUAAAAAGAAGUACAACAAGCCUGUAAGGGUAUGAUGUACAUAAAGUUUCAACCUGAAGUGGCUUUACAAGAAUGGACUUCCUCUUUUUCCACUACCGAAUCGGAGAUCUGCGAUUGCCUGAAUUCCUUCGUAGAACGCCUUCGAGGUAAUUGGCGAAUUAGGCUCGUAGCAAGGGUUCAUGAGCAUCUAAAGAAGAGCCAAGUAGAUAAGCAGGGGUGGACGAGUUUGCGGGGAUUGCACCAUUUCAAAAAAACAAGAAAUCAGAACGCGACGCACUUUUAAAUAGAGCUCAUGACAGUCUCGGAAGAACUGUUUGAUUGCCUCUUCGCUCUUUUGGUUUUGGUGUGCGAGCAAAAACUUGGUGACUGCACAGAAUUGCCACCCGAAGCAUAAAUGUAUAAUCGCAAACAUACUGAGUUAAAGAAUGCAUACUGUAGUCAUUCUACAUAUGAAAUGUGAAACAAUAGAAUGUACAACGUAUGAAAAAAAGGAUACGGCCGCUGGUAACGUAUGCCGAGACUGAAAAGGAUUUAUACUUGUCAAUAGUUGAUAAAUAUCUACAUUGACAAUAUAAUAAAACAGAUGAGUUUUCGCACGCCUAAA